rnacentral:rRNA from 1 species
UGGGGAAUUUUGGACAAUGGGCGCAAGCCUGAUCCAGCCAUGCCGCGUGCGGGAAGAAGGCCUUCGGGUUGUAAACCGCUUUUGUCAGGGAAGAAAUCUUCUGAGUUAAUACCUCGGGAGGAUGACGGUACCCGAAGAAUAAGCACCGGCUAACUACGUGCCAGCAGCCGCGGUAAUACGUAGGGUGCAAGCGUUAAUCGGAAUUACUGGGCGUAAAGCGUGCGCAGGCGGUUUUGUAAGACAGAGGUGAAAUCCCCGGGCUCAACCUGGGAACUGCCUUUGUGACUGCAAGGCUUGAGUGCGGCAGAGGGGGAUGGAAUUCCGCGUGUAGCAGUGAAAUGCGUAGAUAUGCGGAGGAACACCGAUGGCGAAGGCAAUCCCCUGGGCCUGCACUGACGCUCAUGCACGAAAGCGUGGGGAGCAAACAGGAUUAGAUACCCUGGUAGUCCACGCCCUAAACGAUGUCAACUGGUUGUUGGGAAGGUUCCUUCUCAGUAACGUAGCUAACGCGUGAAGUUGACCGCCUGGGGAGUACGGCCGCAAGGUUGAAACUUAAAUGAAUUGACGGGGUCAUAGCUG